GAAUGGCUGAGCAGUUUGGCACACACUGUCUUAUUUUAUUCACUCGAUAGUUAUUAUUAUUUUUUUAAAAAAAUAACAUUGGGAAUACUUUUUCUCAAAUAUUUUAUAUAAUUAACUUAGUAAUUUUUUAACUGAAAAUUUACCCAAGAAUCUUGGCUUUUGCAUUGUAAAACGGGUACCCACCCAAUGGCUAAUUUUUAUUUGAUGCAAUUGGUUUCCUGUGUUGCUUGGCCAAAAUUGGAAUUAUACAUGAGCCAGUACAUUUUCAGAUUCAGUGUUAUUAGCGAAUGAGGCAGGGGGCAUGUAUUUUAGGAUUUUCUGUUUGUUUCUUUAGAAGUAAUGUUGACAGUAAAAUUAGUGAAAACAAUAUCUUGACCAACCAUAGAAUUCCAAUGAUUUGAAUGCCAAACCUACAUGGAGAAAUUAUGUCUGCCACUUACAUAGAAAGAUGGCACAUCUUGGUUGGAAUCAUGUUAUUUUCUGCUCAUAUUUUUCUAUUCUGAUGAUGAAAGUUUUCUUACUGUGUUAUUUGAUUGUUAUUCACAUCUAUAAUCAACAUAACAUAAUACUUGUCUUUCUUCUCUUUUCUUCUUUUUUCUUGUAUUCUACUGUACAGAUAUGCCUCUAGAACAACAGGCUCAUUACUUUCUGUUUCUACAUGACAAGCAAUGGGUGAAAAUUAAAGAACCAAACAUACAUGAGUCAUGAAUGUGAUCGUCUGUAUUUUUAUACAGAUUAAGCGGUCAUCAUUAUCCUGGCAAAUUCCUCAUAACUAACAAGACCAUCACCAUCAAAAUCCGCCUCUCUUAUCAUCUGUUCAGCUUCCUCCUCUGUCAAUCUCUCUCCCAUAUUUAUCAUCACUUGCCUUAGCUGCAUAGUUAAACAAUGCAUCAGAUCAUGAUCAGAAACAUGUCAAACUGGAUAAUUUGGAGAAGUUGAAAUAUGAUUAUUGACCUCAUUGGCUGAUAUGUAUCCAUCCUGGUUUCUGUCAAAUACUUUGAAAGCUUCUUUUAGCUCUUCAGCAACAUUUUCCUGCAAGAAUUAAACGACAUGACUAUGAAGAUUAGUAAGAAAUUAAUUCAUUAGUGCAGCUGUGACAGCUGCAUAUAUAAAAUUUCACCUUCAUUUUCCGUCCCAUAAUGUUCAAGAACUCCUGAAAAUCUAUUGUUCCAUUUCCAUUAACUUCAACUUCACUUGUCAUUUGCUGAACUUCUUCUUUUGUAGGAUGUCCAUCCAGCGAUUGUAUAGUGGUUGCUAGUUCUUCCACUGUGAUGAAGCCUGCAUGGACAUUGUUAGAAUAUAAUAGUUAUGGAAAAGACAUAUACAUAUGAAGUAGAACAUAACGAACCAUCCGAGUCCUUGUCAAUCAAGCAAAAGGCCUCUCGGAAGUCUGCAAUCUGAUCUACUGUAAGUGCAUCUGCCAUUGUUCUGUAAUCUUUCAAGCUUUUCUGGUAGAUGAAAAGCUACAAGAAAUGAAGAAGACGAAGGAGAAGAAAUGUGUUUCUUGUGGGUGAAGGCGUAUGAUAUAAAAAAAGUAGGCUAUGAUGGAAUUAUAGUUAUAUUUAAUAGGAAGAGAUAGAAAAUGGAAAUAGUUCAACGCGCUUCAGCUAUGAAUUGAUGAAUUCCAUUCAAAGCUUCCCAAAUAAAAUCAACUUUUUGAAUGGAAUUUUAUUUGAAUGCCACAUUUUGUCCGGCCUUUGGUCUAAUUCUUGAAAACAAAGUCAACUGCACCAUGACUUCUUUUUUUUUUUUUUUUCUUUUUUCAUCUUUGCCGUGUAUUUUAGGGAAGCUCAGUUCUGAACAGGUAGGUAAGGUUCAUAUUUGGUUUUGCUACGCUUUGUUCUAAGCGCAAGAAAAAUGGACUGAAUUGAAUAUAGGAUGAGAAAUUGAGAUAUCAUGGAAUCUAGACUAGCUGUUUGAUUUGAUGGAAUUGGAAUUUAUUGAGACAUAUUCAAAAAAAUAAUAUGUAUUGAAUUUGGAUUUAUGAGUGACUAUCCGACAGUCUUGUUUCAGAGAUUUGAUGAAAUUAACUCCUGAUCUGAUUCUGGUUGGAAGAUCUCUUUAGGGUUUAACAAGAUUGCAGUAAAAUUCAUCUUGUACAGGUCUGUAGAAUGCUCACCCCACCCCAGAAAAAAAAAAACUUUUUGUUGGACCUGCUGCAGAUAUUUUGAUCAAACCCUGGCGUUCUAUAUUCUUUUACUUUCACUUCGCUUCAAUUCAGAAGCAUCUAUCUGGCAUUGAGAUUCAAAGUUAAAAAAGGUUUUUCAAAAAAAAAAAUUCAUUUUAGAUGUUAUUGUUACUUUAGGAAGGAAAAUAUUCCCAUUUUGAUAUGAUGUUGUUUUUGUUCAGGAUUUUGAGGAUGUCAAGGCAUUCGCAGUCAUAGUACCAUAGAUAAGCGGCCUCGCACAAGCGAGGGUCUGAAAUCUCAUCUAGGUGCCCGAAUUGAUGAUCAGCGUUCUACGUACAAAGGAUGAUUUGAGGUUGAGGACCCAUGUAUCCUCUCUUUUCUGGGUCUUCUGAUGCUGUACCAACAAAACAUCUCGCCCUCUGGACAUCGGAGCUUGGUUUUAUAUGGGGACGCCAGUCCUGAUUCAGAAGCAAAGAAGUAGCUUGCAGUGUCCUUUUGGUGGUGGAAAGUACUCAAACCUCCACCUAUGUUCAAAUGAAAUUGGCCAGUAGCUUGCACUAUUUUUUUCGUAAUCUGUGGUGACACUAUUGCAUAUUGGACCUCCAUAGGCUUCUGGGUCUACAGUUUUACCAGGCGGCACCAAAUACUGGUUUUUGUAUUUUUAUGCCUUCUACUCGGGACUUCUGAUUCUAAUGUUCCAAUGACUUGUGUGUUCAUAUUUGCAUGAAAUCUCAAAUAUCUUUGAGAAAAAGAGAAAG
rnacentral:lncRNA from 1 species